rnacentral:rRNA from 1 species
GGUUCGGCUGCACUUACAGAUGGGCCCGCGGCGCAUUAGCUAGUUGGUGAGGUAAUGGCUCACCAAGGCGACGAUGCGUAGCCGACCUGAGAGGGUGAUCGGCCACACUGGGACUGAGACACGGCCCAGACUCCUACGGGAGGCAGCAGUAGGGAAUCUUCCGCAAUGGACGAAAGUCUGACGGAGCAACGCCGCGUGAGUGAUGAAGGUUUUCGGAUCGUAAAACUCUGUUGUCAGGGAAGAACAAGUGCCGGAGUAACUGCCGGCACCUUGACGGUACCUGACCAGAAAGCCACGGCUAACUACGUGCCAGCAGCCGCGGUAAUACGUAGGUGGCAAGCGUUGUCCGGAAUUAUUGGGCGUAAAGCGCGCGCAGGCGGUUUCUUAAGUCUGAUGUGAAAGCCCCCGGCUCAACCGGGGAGGGUCAUUGGAAACUGGGAAACUUGAGUGCAGAAGAGGAGAGUGGAAUUCCACGUGUAGCGGUGAAAUGCGUAGAGAUGUGGAGGAACACCAGUGGCGAAGGCGACUCUCUGGUCUGUAACUGACGCUGAGGCGCGAAAGCGUGGGGAGCGAACAGGAUUAGAUACCCUGGUAGUCCACGCCGUAAACGAUGAGUGCUAAGUGUUAGAGGGUUUCCGCCCUUUAGUGCUGCAGCUAACGCAUUAAGCACUCCGCCUGGGGAGUACGGUCGCAAGACUGAAACUCAAAGGAAUUGACGGGGGCCCGCACAAGCGGUGGAGCAUGUGGUUUAAUUCGAAGCAACGCGAAGAACCUUACCAGGUCUUGACAUCCUUUGCCACUUCUAGAGAUAGAAGGUUCCCCUUCGGGGGACAAAGUGACAGGUGGUGCAUGGUUGUCGUCAGCUCGUGUCGUGAGAUGUUGGGUUAAGUCCCGCAACGAGCGCAACCCUUGAUCUUAGUUGCCAGCAUUCAGUUGGGCACUCUAAGGUGACUGCCGGUGACAAACCGGAGGAAGGUGGGGAUGACGUCAAAUCAUCAUGCCCCUUAUGACCUGGGCUACACACGUGCUACAAUGGAUGGUACAAAGGGCUGCGAGACCGCGAGGUUUAGCCAAUCCCAUAAAACCAUUCUCAGUUCGGAUUGCAGGCUGCAACUCGCCUGCAUGAAGCUGGAAUCGCUUAGUAAUCGCGG